rnacentral:sRNA from 1 species
ACUGCGGACGGCUUCCGGGUUUGGGCCUGGCUCUGUGACUGAGGCGGCGGCGGUGGCGGCCGAGCGGGAUACGGGCGGCGGGAGCUGGGGAACAGGCAUGGACGUUUCGGGGCAAGAGACAGACUGGCGGAGCACCGCCUUCCGGCAGAAGCUGGUCAGUCAAAUCGAGGAUGCCAUGAGGAAAGCUGGUGUGGCACACAGUAAAUCCAGCAAGGAUAUGGAGAGCCAUGUUUUCCUGAAGGCCAAGACCCGGGUAAGGCCCUAGACGAAUACCUUUCUCUCGUGGCCAGGCUCAUUAUCCAUUUUCGAGACAUUCGUAAGUAAGAUUUCGCAUUUCUGGGUUGUUGAGAUCUCUGUGAGAGGCCAGCCCUGACGCUGCCUCGGCAGAGCUUUCUGGGCAGGCCGCGGUGCCUGAGUCAGAAGGUCUGUGUCACCUCACUUGCUUCUGGGAAGUUCUUCACUGCCUUGCAUUUGAUUCCAGAUCCCCCAUCCUCCCAGAGCCUUGGCCUCAAAAAUGCUGAUUCUAGCAUCAUGGAAAUGCUGUCCUCAAAGUGGUCUAAACGGGUUGCUGUUUCA